CAUUCGCAAAGGGCGAAAGCCUGACGCAGCCAAGCCGCGUGAAAGAUGAAGGUCUUAAGAUCGUAAAAAUCUUUCACCCGGGACGAUCAUGACGGUACCUGGAGAAGAUGUCCAGGUAAACUUCGUGUCAGCAGCCGCGGUAAUACGAAGGGGGCUAGCGUUGCUCGGAAUUACUGGGCGUAAAGGGCGCGUAGUCGGAUCGUUAAGUCAGGGGUGAAAUCCCGGGGCUCAACCUCGGAGCUGCCCUUGAUACUGGCGAUCUUGAGUAUGAGAGAGGUAUGUGGAACACCGAAUGUAGAGGUGAAAUUCGUAGAUAUUCGGAAGAACACCAGUGGCGAAGGCGACAUACUGGCUCAUUACUGACGCUGAGGCGCGAAAGCGUGGGGAGCAAACA
rnacentral:rRNA from 1 species